rnacentral:tRNA from 1 species
GGCGAUGUAGCUCAAAUGGUAGAGCACUCACUGUGCAUGCGAGAGGUACGGAGUUUAAUACCCUGCAUCUCCA